rnacentral:lncRNA from 1 species
UUUGCACACUUCUGUCAGUGUGUGCGUGAGAUACUAAUGCAGACAGGCCAGAGUCAAAUCCCCAGAUUCAGGCACUUCUGAGCUCUAGACUGUUCAAAAUCCAAAUUAGGGUUUUAAAGCUUCAUCCUUUCUCUAAUAUUUAUUCAGAUUUAUGAUACAUGUAGUACUUUAGAGCUAAUUCUUGUUCAUAAUGUAGCUGUUGUUCAGUCGUGACUCUAGUGUGUAAAAAUCCUGCAUUUAUCUUUGAGCCUGUAGACAUUUAAGUCUCUGUGUUCUUCAGGGCUGUAUGUAUUUAUUUAGUCCUUUGCCUGUUUGAUAGAUGGCAGCAGAUAAAUGUUUCCUAUCCAGGGAUGUCUCAUUAGUUUUUGAUUUUAGUAUCUUCUGUCAGCAAAUAAUAGGGGAUUUUUACACAUUUGUGUGAUUGUAUUGUGUUUUCACUCUUAGUUCCUUCCGUGUUUUCACAGGUGAGGUGACACAUAAAUACGACCUUAUCCUUAAAUACUGUUUUCAAAGAAAAUGCAUUUAUCCUAUAACCAGAGCCUGAUCGCCUUGUCGUUACAGCCCCGCUGUUUUCGAAGAAGCAGUCUCACUCUCUGAUACAGAAGGUGGAGACUGGGAAGCUGGCUCUGCUAAGCCUUGCCUAAUGCAAACUGCUUUAGUAUGCACAUCACAUCAUGCCGGCUAUACUGCAGGGAGCAGGCAGUUAUCGCACAAGCGUGCAUCCUCAGAGCCAGGAUAAACACUCCGUUACUCUCCCUCUAAACUGCUCUUCUGGGAGGGACAGAAAAUAAAUAGGGAGCGAGAGAGGCAUUUGAAGUAACCUUUUUAAGGAGGAGGCAGCAGCCAAUAGAACCUUUCUUCUUUUUUUUUCCUCUUUUUUUUUUUUUUUUUUUCCUACUUCUUACUAGAGAAAUUCGUGUUAUCUCAGCAAUUAAGGAGAAGAGCCAGCGUCUAGGGUUCCAGGCUGUGAGGGGGAGUAGCAACUUGUACCAGUGUAUGUCGUCUAGCCAGAAGCCUCUCCCCAUAGGCUGAGUGAUUCUAGUUUCCCUUGUCAGUCACCACAAUGUGAGUACCCUUUUUUGAGUCUCAAGGUUUUCUGAAAGGUUGUCCCUGUUCUGGAUGCUUUUGAAGGCUUAUAAAUACUUCUCAGUUAAUGCAGA